rnacentral:rRNA from 1 species
UACGAAGGGUGCUAGCGUUGUUCGGAAUCACUGGGCGUAAAGCGCGCGUAGGCGGCUUUUCAAGUCAGGGGUGAAAUCCCAGAGCUUAACUCUGGAAUUGCCUUUGAAACUGAGAAGCUGGAGUGUCGGAGGGGAUAGCGGAAUUGCUAAUGUAGAGGUGAAAUUCGUAGAUAUUAGCAGGAACACCGGUGGCGAAGGCGGCUAUCUGGACGACAACUGACGCUGAGGCGCGAAAGCGUGGGGAUCAAACAGG